GACGAACGCUGGCGGCGUGCCUAAUACAUGCAAGUCGAGCGCAGGAAAUCGACGGAACCCUUCGGGGGGAAGUCGACGGAAUGAGCGGCGGACGGGUGAGUAACACGUAAAGAACCUGCCCUCAGGUCUGGGAUAACCACGAGAAAUCGGGGCUAAUACCGGAUGGGUCAUCGGACCGCAUGGUCCGAGGAUGAAAGGCGAUACGGCGUCGCCUGGGGAUGGCUUUGCGGUGCAUUAGCUAGUUGGUGGGGUAAUGGCCCACCAAGGCGACGAUGCAUAGCCGACCUGAGAGGGUGAUCGGCCACACUGGGACUGAGACACGGCCCAGACUCCUACGGGAGGCAGCAGUAGGGAAUCUUCCACAAUGGACGAAAGUCUGAUGGAGCAACGCCGCGUGAACGAUGAAGGCCUUCGGGUCGUAAAGUUCUGUUGUAAGGGAAGAACAAGUGCCGCAGGCAAUGGCGGCACCUUGAUGGUACCUUGCGAGAAAGCCACGGCUAACUACGUGCCAGCCGCCGCUGUAAUAC
rnacentral:rRNA from 1 species